ensembl:piRNA 21ur-2769 ncRNA
UAAUGCCAUUUUCCAUCAAUG